rnacentral:lncRNA from 1 species
CUCAUCUGCGUAUAUUGCACAGCUGCCUCUUGCAAACAUUGCCACAAGUAAGGUGAGUGAGCACGUCCCUCAGAUUCCAACGUUGCUUACCUUUCACCGAAUCAAGGGAACUCCAUGCGAAACGUUUUGAAGGGACUCUCUGCUUAUUCUGUCACCGAAGAGCUCCAUUUGCUAUGUGUGUAUUCGCACAUUUUUGAAUUCAUUUUUAAUUACACAUUUUUUAAUCAAGUUGAAUUACACAAAUAUGUAGGCGUACUUACUCGCUGACUAAGUGUGGGCUCCCCGAGAGUGGAGAAUAAUGCAGCGAAUUCAACUUCGGCAUUGGCAAGGACUUCAUGCAGACGAGCGUGAUUCUGGCUGGCACCAUCCACUUUGGCAUUAUCCUUCAGAGUUCUACAAUGCAAUGCAUUUGGUUUGAGCACUGAUUAUUGUACUCACAUGCUGUGAACCAAAUUUGAAGUCGAAAGCCCUCGGCAUCGGAGUUUGAGAGA